rnacentral:misc_RNA from 1 species
CAAACAUUAAAAAAUUAAAAAAAAAAAUUCUAUAUAUAUUAAAAAUUAUUUUUUAAAAAUGUGUCAAUGCGAAAGUUGUGCCUGUAUGGACGAUAAGUGCGGUACUACACUUAAGGAAAAACAAAUUGUUGUUAUCGUCUUGUCCUGGGUAUAUACUCUCUUUACUCUCAUAUAUGCAGCGGUUCAAAUAGAUGCUGCGUCUAAUAGACUACAAACAAGAAGCGAAAGAGAUGCAACUAUUGCAUACUUAAUAAUAUUGAUAUUUACGUGCUUACAAAUUGUAGGCGCUAUAUUUCUUACAGUCGGUUUUUGCUGUUUCUUCAAAUCUUUCUUAUCAUAUGGGCAUGUCGAUAUUAUAGCGUAAAAAUGUAGGGUUCGAUAGUAAACUAUUUGAAGCAAAUAAUAUGUCAAAUUCAAUGCUUGUGUGUUUUAAAUGUAAAAUUCAAUGUUCCAAAUAAGCUGUUGCAAAAUUAUUUGUUGAAAAUAAAAGUUUUGAAAACAAA